rnacentral:rRNA from 1 species
UACAGAGGUCUCAAGCGUUGUUCGGAUUCAUUGGGCGUAAAGGGUGCGUAGGUGGCGCGCUAAGUCAGGUGUGAAAUUUCGGAGCUUAACUCCGAAACUGCAUUUGAUACUGGCGUGCUUGAGGACUGGAGAGGAGACUGGAAUUCAUGGUGUAGCAGUGAAAUGCGUAGAGAUCAUGAGGAAGACCAGUGGCGAAGGCGGGUCUCUGGGCAGUUCCUGACACUGAGGCACGAAGGCCAGGGGAGCAAACGGG